UGAAUUGGAGUGAAUCAACACUAGAUGCUGGGAGACAAGUUAAGGGGCUGUUACAUCGAUCCAAGUGAAGGAUGAUGGUGAUUUGGACUGCGUAGGGAAGAAGCAGUGGAGAAGUGGAUGGAUUUGAAGCAUAUUUUGGAGUCUUCUGCCAGUGCUUCCUGUUGUCUGAACUCAGCAGGGGAGUCUCACAUGGAGCUAGGACUCUGCCAGGCUCAGCGCCAGCCAGUGGAAUGGGAAGCACAGCCAUUUAUGACUUCACAUCAUCGCCCUACCACGUGAGCUUGCUUUUGUGGGUGGAUUGGGCAGGGAACUAUAUUUUGACUUCACUUUGUAUCCCCUAAAGGCCCCUCAAUAAAUAUUUCUUAUGUUGA